rnacentral:rRNA from 1 species
UUUUCGCAAUGCCCGAAAGGGUGACGAAGCGACGCCGCGUGGGUGAGGAAGGCCUUCGGGUUGUAAAGCCCUGUCAGGAGUUAAGAAAUGUAGGUACGCUAAUAUCGUAUCUAUUUGACAAAGGCUCCAAAGGAAGCCACGGCUAACUCUGUGCCAGCAGCCGCGGUAAUACAGAGGUGGCAAGCGUUGUUCGGAAUUAUUGGGCGUAAAGAGCACGUAGGUGGAUUUGUAAGUCAGAUGUGAAAGCCUUCUGUUCAACGGAAGAAUUGCAUCUGAAACUACAAACCUUGAGUAUAGGAGGGGAGAAUGGAACUUCUGGUGGAGCGGUGAAAUGCGUAGAUAUCAGAAGGAACGCCGGCGGCGAAAGCGAUUCUCUGGCCUAUUACUGACACUCAGUGUGCGAAAGCUAGGGGAGCAAACGGGAUUAGAUACCCCGGUAGUCCUAGCCGUAAACGAUGGGCACUAAGUAGAGGGGUUUU